GCCCCCAUCGACUAGCGGUCAAGGUCACGGCCCUUUCAAGGCCGUAGCGCGGGUUCGAAUCCCGCUGGGGGCACCA
rnacentral:tRNA from 1 species